rnacentral:rRNA from 1 species
UACGGAAGGGGCAAGCGUUGUUCGGAAUCAUUGGGCGGAAAGGGCGCGUAGGUGGUUCUGUAUGUCUAUCGUGAAAGCAUACAGCUCAACUGUAUUUUGUCGGUAGAAACUGCAGGACUUGAGGCUGGGAGGGGCUGGUGGAAUUCCCUGUGUAGCGGUGAAAUGCGUAGAGAUGGGGGAGAACACUCGUGGCGAAGUCGGCCAGCUAGACCAGUUCUGACACUGCGGCGCGACAGCGUGGGGAGCAAACAGG